AAUAUCAAAGGUGAGCCAGUACAGGAUGGACCCGCGUCUGAUUAGCUAGUUGGUAAGGUAACGGCUUACCAAGGCGACGAUCAGUAGCCGACCUGAGAGGGUGAUCGGCCACAUUGGAACUGAGACACGGUCCAAACUCCUACGGGAGGCAGCAGUGGGGAAUAUUGCACAAUGGGCGAAAGCCUGAUGCAGCAACGCCGCGUGAGUGAUGAAGGCCUUCGGGUCGUAAAACUCUGUCCU
rnacentral:rRNA from 1 species